UUCGGCGGCCAUAGCGAGAGGGAAACGCCCGGUUACAUUCCGAACCCGGAAGCUAAGACUCUUUGCGCCGAUGGUACUGCACGGGGGACCGUGUGGGAGAGUAGGACACCGCCGGAC
rnacentral:rRNA from 2 species